rnacentral:pre_miRNA from 1 species
AACCCUCCUAAUCCGUGCCGAGAUUUCUUCACACACCAGACCACAAAGCCGAUGAGACUUCCAAGGGAAGUGGAGUC